AGCAUGGGAGCUUGCUCCCUGAUGUUAGCGGCGGACGGGUGAGUAACACGUGGGUAACCUGCCUGUAACAAUGGGAUAACUCCGGGAAAAAGGGGCUAAUACCGGAUGGUUGUUUGAACCGCAUGGUACAAACAUAAAAGGUGGCUUCAGUAACCACUUACAGAUGGACCCGCGGCGCAUUAGCUAGUUGGUGAGGUAACGGCUCACCAAGGCAACGAUGCGUAGCCGACCUGAGAGGGUGAUCGGCCACACUGGGACUGAGACACGGCCCAGACUCCUACGGGAGGCAGCAGUAGGGAAU
rnacentral:rRNA from 1 species